UUGCUUUGGCAGCACAGAUACUAAAACUGGAAAGAUACACAGAAUAUUAACAUGGUUCCUGUGUUAGGAUAACACAUAAAUUUGUGAAGUGUUCCAUAUUUUU
rfam:Canis lupus familiaris chromosome 13, whole genome shotgun sequence.